GCUAAGGAAAUAUAACAGAAAACAAAAAUGGGAUUUAUUUUAAAUGACACAAUAGAUAUCAUGACUUUGAUAACCAAAGAGUUACUCAGUGUAAAUAAAUAGACAAUCGAAAUGGAAACCAAGAAAAAGAAAUAAAAACUGAAAUCUAAAAAGCUGUAAGAUAAUGAAACAAAAAACAAAAAUAUGAAAGGGUAAUCUCGUACUUGAACAACAAGAAAAUGAACUUUCUUAUCAUUUUUUUGCUCAACUUUCUUCUAACACUCUCUUUCUCCGCCCUUCAUUUUUUCCCUCUUUUAUUUUUCCCUCUAUUUACCCUUUUCUCUGUCUACAUCUAGUGUCAUUACCUUAGCUUUCAUCCAAAUCACCUAAACCAUGUGUCACUUAAUUAUUCAAUUCAAUAUUUUGUGAAACAUUGAUAAUAGAGAAAAUUACUGAAUAAUAUCCAUUUCUAUUCAAAUUAAGUGAAUUGUGAUUAAAAUAGUGGACUAAAAUUCAUAUUGUUUCUCUUUAGUAACUACCAGUUGAGAUUAUGGUGACAACUUGGCGCCCAUUAGUGUUGACUCAUGAGUCUAUUGCGGUUUAUUUUCUACCAUCUUCAACAUCUAUGACAAUUUCUUGGCUUUUACCAUCACCAAUAGCUUAAAUGUAACAAGCUAAACCAUCUAAAUCAUUGUUAUCAACCAAUUGACAUCAUGUGUCUAAUGAUCUAAUUCAACAAUUCAAGGUUCUAGAGUUUAAUCACCUUGGAUUAAGAGCUUGUUAAUCUAGAAUGACUACUCAGUACUUUUUCGGUUAAAGAUUAAUUAAUCGGUCAAACCCAAAGCAAAAAACCCAAAACCAAAACCCGAAAGCGAAAAUUACAGCGCGUGGUGAAUUGUCUAUUUCAGUUUUUCUUGGUACCAGAACCAGAAGUGAAUGCUCACACAAAUCACCCAAAACUUUGAAGUUGACCAGG